UACGUAGGGUGCAGGCGUUAAUCGGAAUUACUGGGCGUAAAGGGCGCGUAGGCGGUCAGCACAAGUCAGUUGUGAAAUCUCCGGGCUUAACUCGGAAAGGUCAACUGAUACUGCGCGACUAGAGUGCAGAAGGGGCAACUGGAAUUCUCGGUGUAGCGGUGAAAUGCGUAGAUAUCGAGAGGAACACCUGCGGCGAAGGCGGGUUGCUGGGCUGACACUGACGCUGAUGCGCGAAAGCCAGGGGAGCGAACGGG
rnacentral:rRNA from 1 species